AGAAUCAGCUCCCCAGGACUCCUUCCUGACAUGUAUGCUCCUCACCCCCUCCCUUGCUCCCUCCCACAUGCCGUGACAUCUGUUAAACACCUGCUGUUCACAGGGUCCCUGCAGGCCUCCAAGCAGGGGACCUCAUCCCACCUUGGUGCCUCCCCUGGCUGUCCAACACACCCAAGCCAUUUUUGGGUCUCAUAUGUGUCCCACCAACUCAGAAGCCUCAACCAGCGAAAGUUUUGUUUUGAACUAAUGGUAGGGAGGGUUGGGUGUCUUCACAAAGCCAGGCCAUCAGGCCCAUUCUGGGCUUUUCCAGAAGGGGGUCUGAAGCCAGUCUUGUAGAGGGCUGGAGUGGAUGUUGGACGACUAGAACCCUGGGCUUUGCAGGGUGCUGGGAGCUGGAAGUCUUCACCAUGGCCUGUCAGGAGAAGCCCCUGGGGGCUGGUCUACCAUGCUGACCAGUGGUUGGAUAGAGUGCCUGCUGAGGUCAAGAGAUGCAGCCGCCAAUUCCUGGACAACCUAAAAGCCUCACAAGCUUCAAGUCUCCAAGGACUCUCCAAAUCCCAGGAUCUCCCUGCCAUCACAUCCUAGAAUUUAAAACCUGAGAACAUCAAGUUCAGGAAAGCUUGGGGAUUUCAAAGCCCAGCACCAAAGAAAGCGGGACCGGCGGAUAUUUGGAAUCCUAAAUCCUUGGAAACUGGGGCCUUUUGAAGUAAAAGACCCCAAAGGCUGAGGGCCUCAGAAGCAUCAGGCCAUGAUAUUCCUGAAACAAGAGGGUCAGGGUCCCAGUGGGCCUCUGGGGUUCAUCGUGAGGAUGGAUGCAUUAAUAUUGGGGACCUGCUAGGGACCUUCCCAGUGGGACAGUGGCUGGGUCAGGGCACUCAAGCCCUAAAAUGUGAUGAGGCGAGACUUUUCUCUCUUUCCUCAUUCAGUAGCUGUCAGUAGAUUCUGGGAGCCAGGGAUUCUCCGACUCUUCGAGUCCAUGAAUUUUAGGGGAUGACGGUGGGCUCUCCGCUUUCUCCUCCAUGAAGUAACUUACAUACCCCUCACCCUCUGUGGGAGGGGUGUUGCAGGGGGUGCAGAACUCCCCUCGCUGGGUAGUUCAAGCAAUGGGGACCAUAUCAAUUCCAUCUAUAGGGAAACUGAGGCCUGGAGUAGGGCGAGGCCUCUGGGAACCCAGCCCUAUUCUGUCUCUUUCCCUGGCAUUUCCCAUC
rnacentral:lncRNA from 1 species